CUUGGACCCUGGGGAGCUGGACAGAGGAAUCCGGGCUCACAGCCCUGUAGCCCCAGGGUGCCAAGAGCGUUUGGUCUGGUGUGGUAUCUCCCGCAUCCCUCUCCGGCUUCAGCCUCCUUUCUUGUUACUCGCCGAUGGGUCGUGGAAUUCCUUGGUUCUCGGCUUCUCGAAGGAAAGAAUUCAGUCCAGAGACCUGAGAGUAAAGCAGUUAAAGCAGCAAAGGCUUUUAUUUAGCAAAGCGAAAGUACACUGCAGAGAUGGAGGAGCAGGUUGACCUGAGGGUGGGGAGCGGCUUGAUGAGUUCUGUCUUGUGUUUUCUUUCGCGAGUCUCUGGUGUCCUCUCUCCCAUCUUGUCAUCGUCACAGCACCCUCCGAUUCGCCCCGGUCUCCUCUCCGGCAACCUUCUGCACAGCCUGGAAAGGAAACCUCUUCUUCCACGCCCAGAAGAUUCUGACGUCACAUCACUGGAGGGGUCCCCAGUUCCUAAGGUUCGGGCUUCCCUCCCCUGCCACGCCUUCUCCAGCCACCCUGCAUCAGUACCAGAGGGGCAUGGAACAAGUAGGGAUGGGCCAGACUGUUUUAAUAAAUAAUAUCGAUACUGUGAAAGAUGA
rnacentral:lncRNA from 1 species